CCACCUCCAACUGGCACUGAAGAUUCUAAUGGAUGCUCUGAACAAUUAGAGGGCCUCUUCAGCUGCUUUUUCAGUUUGAAGUUAUGAUUGGAGGAGACCUCGAAAUUCAGCUGUGUGCAGUAUUUAUAGGGAAUGAUGGUGCGUUUACGGAGAUACAAAUUCUGGAGAAAGACUGGAUUUGGAGGAGAAAGACCAUGAUGGGGAAAAAUCAGAAAUGAGAAACAUCCUGCAAAUAGAGAAAUGGGAACAACUGAAAGAACCAGGCCCCACAGGAGAUGGUAUCAACUGGUCAUGUUCUUCCCAACGUGUAUUCUGGUUUAGGGUAAAAUGGAUCCCAGUGGAGUCUGAGAGAAUGGAUCAGUUCAACCCCUCUAAGAGCUUGACCUCUAAGCAUAGAGGUGGAGCCGACUGCUUUCCCAUCCAUCAGUUCUCUUUCAACCUGAUGUGGAGAUGAUGACAAAAAGAAUGGACUUUAACAAGAAGUAGUUAACAUUCAAAGCCAGCCUCCUGACUUGACACUAUCCUCCUAGAUUUGGAGGCUUUUUGUUUUCAUAUCUUCAGUGACACCUAGGAAAGUGC
rnacentral:lncRNA from 1 species